UACAGAGGGGGCCAGCGUUAUUCGGAAUUAUUGGGCGUAAAGGGCGUGCAGGUGGUGUGCUAAGUGGUGCGUGAAAGCGCUCGGCUCAACCGGGCGAGGCCGUGCCAAACUGGCAGACUAGAAACAGGCAGAGGAAAGUGGAAUUCGGGGUGUAGUGGUGAAAUGCGUAGAUAUCGGGAGGAACACCAGUGGCGAAGGCGGCUUCCUGGCCUGUUCUUGACGCUGAGGCGCGAAAGCUAGGGGAGCAAACGGG
rnacentral:rRNA from 1 species